rnacentral:lncRNA from 1 species
GCAAUUCUCCCUCAGCCUCCCGAGUAGCUAGGACUACAGCCAGCAAGGGAGACAGUGUCUAGAGGCAGUCAUCUAGCAAGAUGGAGACUUACAACAUGAGGCACAUACAAGAGUGACCUCCCAUCGUCUUUGAGGCAUUCUAUUUCUUGUGUCUUUGUGAAGCUUCCUAUCUUUGCUUUUCAACUAAGAUGAAACAGCAUUUAAAAGAAAAUGCCAUGUGAGAUGAGAUCAGGAGAAUGGAUUCUUUCUUUCAUCUGAAUAGAGAGCUGCUGUUCGAGAUUCUAACUCAAAUAGCUCAAAGGACACCUUCUCCGGGAAACCUUCCCUGACUUCCGACGCUGUUUCCUGUUUUGCAGGAAAGAAUACACAAGCUCAGAAUCUCUUGGGCUGAGUGACAAAGGAGGAAAAGGGAUGGUUCCAAGUAGGAUUGGAGCUUCUGCUUCCUCACUUCCUCACGUAGCUCCAUCUGCCUCUUCAGAGAGCUCCCAUCUCCCACUGUGUGCAGCUGAGUUCCAAGCACUCCUGGCGGCAUAAUGACUGGGACAAAGAUAUUUCCUGCAGUUGUCAAUGGUGCUCCUAUACUGAAACUCUCCUAGGAACUUGGCCAAAUCUUCCUGCUCCCCAUCCCUGAUUUCUGUGAACAAGAGGGAAGACUUUGUCACACUUCUCAUUGGUGAUCAUAUUAAUUUCUAGGCCAUGUGUAUCUAGAUAUGAAAUAAUAUUUCUGUUAUUUUAAAAUAUAAGAUCCUUGGAAGAUGUCAUCUAUUGGAACAUGUAACUAUAUAGCCAGAAGAGGAGAUCACUAGAGCCAGACUGCUCUGUCUACAUACUUAAAAAGACAUUUGGAGGAAGAGAGCAUCUGCAAAUGUUGAUGAAAAUGGGUUUGGAACUUCUCUUUUGAUCAGGAAAUAGGUAGACCAUAAAAUGUCUGAUGCAUGUUGCUGCCUGAAGCAAACCCACAAUCUGGAACCCAGUCAUCUUGUUGCUCUAGAAAGCAUCAAGAGAAAAUGGAAGAAGGCUUAAAAGGCCCAUCACAUUUUAAUCUCUAUGGUUGGAUUAAUCAAAAGUUUUCAUAGUUUUACUAAAGAAAAAUGAGUGGUCAUUUAUACUUCAUCUCUAACAAGAAACUUUUUUGUCCAGUGCUCAAAAAUACAUAUGCUAUUAUGCUAUAGUUUCCUUAUGACUUGUUUUGUUUUCUAUAGUUGAUUGUGAGCCUCCAAAGGGCAUGGAGCUAUAUGGUAUGAUUCUUUGCUCCUCAGGCAUUUUCUUGCUCAGGAGACAUACCUAACAUGUUUUUACUUAAUGAUAAAGGUGGUAUGAAUGCAUCAUCAAUAACAGAAGCUUAGAGCUAGAAGUAAAUGUUUAAUCAUUUACUUUUGCUUGUUUUUCUUUUCCUUUUUUUUUUGCAUUGUCUACUUUAAGACCCACAUAUUACAAAUAAGAAGCAUUAAAAGUCGUUAGUGUCAAGAUCGGGGACAUGAAUUAGGUCUCUUGAUUCUAAAGAUGAUUACAGUAAUAACAGAAAAGGCUUUCUCAUCAAGCAGUGUAACUCAGUGGAACAAGCUUCAGAUUGAGCAGUGGCAAUGUGGUUUCGUGGACAGGCACUGGCUGGGAGCUUGGAUCUCAUUAUUGUGGGUUCAUCUCAGUCAUGUGUUGACCUGAGGUGCAGGUGGCUCUAUUGGGAGUCAGCCAGCUGUGGAUGGUAACCACACAUGACCAAAAUGAGUCUUCAGAAGCUAUCACUUGAACACAGCAACGACACUGGGCACUACUAAGAAGGAGGGAGGAAGUGGACCAAGGGCUGAAAAACUAACUAUUGGGUCCUAUGCUUAGUUCCUG